rnacentral:rRNA from 1 species
AGAGUUUGAUCAUGGCUCAGAAUCAACGCUGGCGGCGCGCUUAACACAUGCAAGUCGCACGAGAAAGUGGAGCAAUCCAUGAGUACAGUGGCAUACGGGUGAGUAACACGUGGAUCAUCUACCUCUUGAUGGGGAAUAACCCUGGGAAACCGGGGCUAAUACCGCAUAAGCCUGAAAAGGGAAAGCAGCAAUGCGUCGAGAGAGGAGUCCGCGGCCGAUUAGCUAGUUGGUAGGGUAAAGGCCUACCAAGGCAAUGAUCGGUAGCCGGCCUGAGAGGGCACACGGCCACACUGGCACUGAAACACGGGCCAGACUCCUACGGGAGGCAGCAGUGGGGAAUCUUGCACAAUGGAGGAAACUCUGAUGCAGCGACGCCGCGUGAGUGAUGAAGCCCUUCGGGGUGUAAAGCUCUUUCGGCAGGAACGAUAAUGACGGUACCUGCAGAAGAAGCUGCGGCUAACUACGUGCCAGCAGCCGCGGUAAUACGUAGGCAGCAAGCGUUGUUCGGAAUUACUGGGCGUAAAGAGUGUGUAGGCGGUUCUCUAAGUUCCGUGUGAAAUCUCCCGGCUCAACUGGGAGGGUGCGCGGGAAACUGGAGGGCUCGAGUAUGGGAGAGGAAAGCGGAAUUCCUGGUGUAGCGGUGAAAUGCGUAGAUAUCAGGAGGAACACCUGCGGUGUAGACAGCUUUCUGGACCAUCACUGACGCUGAGACACGAAAGCGUGGGUAGCAAACAGGAUUAGAUACCCUAGUAGUCC